rnacentral:rRNA from 1 species
CCUACGGGAGGCUGCAGUGAGGAAUAUUGGUCAAUGGGCGCGAGCCUGAACCAGCCAAGUCGCGUGAGGGAAGACGGUCCUAUGGAUUGUAAACCUCUUUUGUCGGGGAGCAAAAGACGCCACGCGUGGCGUUCCGAGAGUACCCGAAGAAAAAGCAUCGGCUAACUCCGUGCCAGCAGCCGCGGUAAUACGGAGGAUGCGAGCGUUAUCCGGAUUUAUUGGGUUUAAAGGGUGCGCAGGCGGACGAUCAAGUCAGCGGUAAAAUUGAGAGGCUCAACCUCUUCGAGCCGUUGAAACUGGUUGUCUUGAGUGAGUGAGAAGUAUGCGGAAUGCGUGGUGUAGCGGUGAAAUGCAUAGAGAUCACGCAGAACUCCGAUUGCGAAGGCAGCAUACCGGAGUUCAACUGACGCUGAUGCACGAAAGUGUGGGUAUCGAACAGGAUUAGAUACCCGAGUAGUC